UACGUAGGGUGCAAGCGUUGUCCGGAUUUAUUGGGCGUAAAGAGCUCGUAGGCGGUUCGGUAAGUCGGAUGUGAAAACUCAGGGCUCAACCCGGAGACGCCAUCCGAUACUGCUGUGACUUGAGUCUGGUAGGGGAUCACGGAAUACCUGGUGUAGCGGUGAAAUGCGCAGAUAUCAGGUGGAACACCGAUGGCGAAGGCAGUGAUCUGGGCCAGUACUGACGCUGAGGAGCGAAAGCGUGGGGAGCAAACAGG
rnacentral:rRNA from 1 species